GACAAAUGUAUUUGGAGUCACUUGAAGGACGACAAAUAUAUUGUAAAAUUGGCAUACCAGUGUUUGAUGGGUUUCCAUGCAAACAAUACACAACGAUCAUUUAACAUGUGGAAGUAUUUGUGGCAAUCAGAAAGCCCCCCCCAAGUUAAGAAUUUCACAUGGAGAUUAGUGAAUAAUAUCCCCCUGGUAAAAUCUAAACUAUAGGAGAAAGGGAUUGGAAUUGUGAACGUGCACCCUAGAUGUGACAAGGAGGAAACCAUUGAGCAUGUCUUUUUUUACUGUGAAAAAAGCCAGGGCUUGCUGGUGAAAACUUGGUAUACACUUCCAAGCAAGACAAACCAACGACGUAUUUAGAUGGAUGGAACACCAAGCUAAAAUAAUGGCAACAACAGGAGUUAACAGAGAUACUUUGCUGCUUGCCUUUGACUUGAGCAGAAUGAAUUUCUGUGAACUUGAAGGAUGUUUGGUGAUUAGACCUCCAUUUUUCUAGCGAGGAAGUUUUUGCAUAAAAGGAGACAAGCACAUUAAGUUAAAGACAGAGACAAGGUACAACUCCUGCACACCAAGUCAAGGUCAUUGUUGUGGGAAGCUCCAUCGCUUGGGAUCUGGAAAUGCAAUCUGGACAGUACAAUUUUUAACACAACUUAUUAGGCAAGAUAGGGAGCAGUCGUACGAGACUUGACUGUUUUCUCUAACAAGUUAUGAG
rnacentral:lncRNA from 1 species